GACGAACGCUGGCGGCGUGCUUAACACAUGCAAGUCGAACGGAAAGGCCCUGCUUUUGUGGGGUGCUCGAGUGGCGAACGGGUGAGUAACACGUGAGUAACCUGCCCUUGCCUUUGGGAUAACUUCAGGAAACUGGGGCUAAUACCGGAUAGGAGCUCCUGCUGCAUGGUGGGGGUUGGAAAGUUUCGGCGGUUGGGGAUGGACUCGCGGCUUAUCAGCUUGUUGGUGGGGUAGUGGCUUACCAAGGCUUUGACGGGUAGCCGGCCUGAGAGGGUGGCCGGCCACAUUGGGACUGAGAUACGGCCCAGACUCCUACGGGAGGCAGCAGUGGGGAAUAUUGCACAAUGGGCGGAAGCCUGAUGCAGCAACGCCGCGUGCGGGAUGACGGCCUUCGGGUUGUAAACCGCUUUCGCCUGUGACGAAGCGUGAGUGACGGUAAUGGGUAAAGAAGCACCGGCUAACUACGUG
rnacentral:rRNA from 1 species